UACGUAGGGUGCAAGCGUUGUCCGGAAUUAUUGGGCGUAAAGAGCUCGUAGGCGGUCUGUCGCGUCGAAUGUGAAAACCCGGGGCUCAACCCCGGGCCUGCAUUCGAUACGGGCAGACUAGAGUUCGGUAGGGGAGUCUGGAAUUCCUGGUGUAGCGGUGAAAUGCGCAGAUAUCAGGAGGAACACCGGUGGCGAAGGCGGGACUCUGGGCCGAUACUGACGCUGAGGAGCGAAAGCAUGGGGAGCGAACAGG
rnacentral:rRNA from 1 species